rnacentral:rRNA from 1 species
UAAGGACGGUUAAACAAAGAGUAAGAACGACGACGGCACCAACGUAUAGGACGAUGGACGACGGGGUAGGAACGAGAUGAAUUUUUUUCUUUUUAUAAAAAAAAGGAGGGCUUCCGAGAUCUCCGCCUCCUCCUCGCCUUGGUCCGGAAAGCAGGAGAAAGAUGCCGGUUCUGCAGGUGUUCGAUGCGCGCCCAGGGAGGAAGGGCGUCCGCCUAGUCCCUCGGAGACGUCUAACUGGAACCAAACCAAAGCCUAAGUCCAAACUAGGUUGGGUUUAGGUUUAGCAGACUAAACCGUUCCUAAACUAGUUGUUGACCCCUAGGACUCAACUUAUACUAUAGUUUAGGCCACUUAACCAUGUCAAAGCCCGGACCUAUCUUCGACAUCACUACGGUCUAACCUUCCGCCCGCUCAAACUCCCAUUUAAGUUCCUACUUAAACGAGUCCCAUUAUUGUUGAACGUUCUUCUACCUCGUCCCGGAAACUUAUAGAGUUUAUUCUUUGACUUCGUACCCUAAUGGUGACUUCUCUUGGGCGUCCCACAACACAGAUGUCGUUGAUAAAGUCUAAGUUCCUUUAAACUAAGUCUCGUGUAGAUGAGAUGGACACACCAGCGAAGGCUGGUACAUUCUCUGACGUUUUAACUUAGUUCACGCAAAGGGAACUCGUCUCUACUAUGAUGUAGACCUUGUUCUAUGGUUUGUCUUUUAACCUUGUUAACGGUCAAACGUGGCUCAUUACCGAGUCGACAAGAGUUGUUAGUGUCACAAGGCGUUCCACUAGAGUUAAUACCUCUAUUACUAGAUUUGAAGUAACUAACCGGAUCGUAACUAUUAAAACUCCUACAACUAUGUGAUAAGUCCCCCACACUAAGGUGUAUACCACUUGUUGUUGACCUCUUGUGACUACUCGACAGUACCUAAGGAAGAAGUCUACGGUAAAUGAGAAGGCUACAACGAGACGUCCGUCCAAAACUGUGAAGAAUAAGUCUGAUACCAUACGACCUACUGGACAGUCGUAAGGGGACACGUGUUCUAUUUAGGGAUGGUUCUCGACUGUUCGUUAAGUUACUGUUAAUAGGUAAGUUGCUCGUUUUCUUACAAUUACAUAUACCUCUUGUCCGAAUGGUCCCCCCACGUUACCUUAACAACAGGUGACUGGUCUAUACGUUACCUCUACCUUUGGAACUAUACUAAGCGCUCGCUAUAAGUAGUCUUUUACGGAACGUUGUCAACCUCCUGUCCUUCAAAAGACAUAGAAGGCCUAGAGUUAAUUCGAGGAGGGUCUUAAAUGACUUCGUUUUCGUGGUGAGUCUAUUUUGAAGUGGUUCAUUGUAAUGAAGACUAACGAUAAGUCUAUCUUUGACGGUCAAGUCAGGUAGACCUAGAAAACGUGUCUCCUUGAACUACCAAGUUUUUGUUCACCGACUAAACGUUGGUCCUGUCGAGUAUUUACUACUUCCUGUUGAACCAGUUGUUUGUAACUGAUCUUCCCGAAGUAUAGGAACACUCUUGAUACUCCAACUUUUCUUCCCGAAACCUUUUUCUUCAUUCCUAUGUGACCCAUGUAGUCAUCACCACCUACCGAGAAAACACAGCAGAGAAAGAAGACUAUUAAGACAACUUCUUUCGUCGAAGGCUGUUGAAGUCCUACGUCAAUCAGUCAACCUGCACUUUUGGUUUGACACGUAAUCUCUACCAAACAUGGCGAACCGUUCUUCGCGCGUUUUAUCUGGUCAAAAGGGUUUACGCUACUUAUCUGUACUUCUUUCGGCCCUACAUUUCCUACGUGUUUUAUACCUUUGAAGCCCGUUCAAACAACUAGUAUCCUCGUAACUCUGCGUCUGUUUAGGUUAACUAGCAAGAUAUCGUGAGGAUGAAAAAGUAGUCGGUAGUCUGGUUCACCGACCUCGACAACUGUUAGGAGCGGUGAUUUUAGAGUAUUGCUCUUGGUGUUCCGGAUACGAUUUUUGAUCCAACCAAUUACAACGCUUUUAAUGACCUCUACCGAGCACCUCUAAGUUCCUAGCGGAUAAGUAUAUAACAUUAGUAGUAGAGGCACUUACGUCCUCGUUAGCACUUACAAAUAGGCUAUACCAUGCCAUGCAUGGCAAAAUUAGCAAUCAGCCGACGUUCCUUUUUUUUUCAUGUGGUCAAUUGGUCGGUCGACACUGACAACCAUGGUAUAACACUUAAGCAAGCACUCCAACUGAAACACAACAAGACUGAUUGUAAAACACAUUAGAGUUCUGUCUGUCUAUAACUGAACAUAUAAGUUUACUGAUAAAACACAUUAGAACGGUGACCUCCCUUUCCCAUCUCAUAUACAUGGUUAACAACCGUAACGCACAAGUCUGUGUAAUGAGGUUUUCCGCAUCGGUAUACUAAGAGUUAUAUUGGCUUAAUCUGACUUAAGAA